rnacentral:rRNA from 1 species
CUUGAGGAGUGGCUUUCGGAGCUAACGCGUUAAAUCGACCGCCUGGGGAGUACGGCCGCAAGGUUAAAACUCAAAUGAAUUGACGGGGGCCCGCACAAGCGGUGGAGCAUGUGGUUUAAUUCGAUGCAACGCGAAGAACCUUACCUACUCUUGACAUCCAGAGAACUUAGCAGAGAUGCUUUGGUGCCUUCGGGAACUCUGAGACAGGUGCUGCAUGGCUGUCGUCAGCUCGUGUUGUGAAAUGUUGGGUUAAGUCCCGCAACGAGCGCAACCCUUAUCCUUUGUUGCCAGCGAUUCGGUCGGGAACUCAAAGGAGACUGCCGGUGAUAAACCGGAGGAAGGUGGGGAUGACGUCAAGUCAUCAUGGCCCUUACGAGUAGGGCUACACACGUGCUACAAUGGCGUAUACAAAGAGAAGCGACCUCGCGAGAGCAAGCGGAACUCAUAAAGUACGU